CUAACAAUGAUUAUCUGCUUGAGACAGCUCUAUAAAUUCACUCCUUUUCUUUGGGGGAGAGCAUUUGCAAAGAACUAUAGGGAGUAAGAUUGGGAAUAAAAGGCAGAGAGAAAGAUGGCCGUAAUUGUAAUAUCCUGAGAUUUGCUGAGCCCAAAAGUCUGUCUAUUGAGCCACUUUCACAGGAUUGUCGCUGUCUCUCUGCAGGAAACAUAAAAUCUGAUCAAGUUCAGAGACGCAUUGGGAGACUGCUUCAAGCAGUGCUUUAUAACUGCAGUCUUUUCACAACCUUCCCCCAAUCAGCCCCAGGAAAGACUUCACAUUCUUUAUUUUAGAGUUUUGCUUAAAAAAAAAAACUCCACCCCUAUAAAAUCAGCUUCAGUAGUAAAACCAUCUUCCAUCAAAAUUCAUGCUACAUAUCCACCAAGAACACUCUAAAAGUUGAAAGGAUAGUAAUGCAAGAUAAAGAAGGCGGAUCCAAGGACAGAUCAUCUCUCUCAGCUGCGUCACUGCACCUGUCUCAGUUAGCAUGCUUAGUAAGCUAUUAUAGAUUAAAAAUAAUGAUACCAGUUUCUAUCAACCUGUGUGACUGCCUGUCAUAGCAUACAAGCAUUAAAAAAGAAAAUCUGGGUUUACUCCUUUAAAGAU